CUUGAGUUAUUAGACGCUGAUCUCAAAACAUCCUUCAUCAGACACCAAGGAGAGGCCAACAGAUGAGGGGAGCCAUUUUUCUGCAAUGGAAUUAAAUGGCCAAGCUAAAGGACUCACAAUUGGAAGAAUGAAGAAGACUUUUUAAAAAGAUCUGGAUUUUUCCUUAUGACUUGGAAUCCAUCUUUGUCUUGUAUAACUAGGUCAUAGCACACCAUUAAUGUCAGCAGUUAACAGUUUUGAAUUCCAAAAAACCUAAGUAAUGUUUUCAAUGUAUAGUUUUAGGACUAGCGAAGUGGCAGCAACAAAAAAAUAGCAGUAAACAGUCCUCAGCGAAGCCGCCUUUUGCCAACCCAACCCUGGAAAGUUUACCGAAGUGGAAGGAGCAGAAAAAUGCCAUGAGAGUGUAACUUACAAAAAGGCUCUUGGCCAGAGAAGGGGCAACAUGCCGGUACCCCCAGAGUGGACCGAUCUCCUCUGAACAGCUGAGCAGGCUUAGUUUGACUCUGACAAGCCUACUAAGGAACUCCUCCUGGUGAAUAAAAGGAGAAUGACAUGGGUCCUCAGAGCAUCUCACAGGUAAGGAAGCAGGGCCCCCAGGCAUGUGGGUGUGCCCAGCUCCUCGGCUGGCCUGCCCUGGCUCUGCCACCCCAGGAAGCUCCAGCAGCUGGCCUGGCUGUGGGGUAUUUUUAGCUACAGAUCCAGCCCCUACACCACCACUGGAGCUGGGUCCAAAUGAAACACUCCAGGCCGGCUGGGGCUGGGGUUCUGCCAGCCUCUUGGCCAGGCAGGGGUAGGUGGGCAGUCGGGCCAGUGUCAGCUGUUCUGCCUGGACCCAGGCAGGGCUGGAAAGACUCACUUUUCCUCUCCCCUCAGCUUUGUGUAAGUGGUUUGUUCUGUCAUAAGUCAAAAUUGCAACCCCAUUUCUCAGAUGGAAGGUGGAAACUUAGGAGCGAGGAUGGUCAGGAGUCCUCCCACAGGCUUGUGUCGUUAACCCAGUUUCCCGUGGCAUAGUUUGCUCAGAGGGGUGGCUUUUCUAGGUGAAUUCUCCCCAGACCCCUCCCAGAUGAGGCAGCCCCCUCCCCCUCCCAUUCUCCCAGUCUCCAUGGCUUUAGGGUCUGCUGUGGGGCCAGGCCUGAGAUAAGGCUGCAAAGAUAAGUGGUUCUCACUCCUUUCACGCAAAACCCUCUUCCAUCCUCUCCCUCCUCCUGGGGUCCUGGGGUCAUUUCUUACUUAUCUCUGGACCUGGUCCCUUCUCCUGACAACUUCAGGCUGCCUCACCAGCCAAUCAUAGCUCCUCAGUGGUCACCGAAGAGAGCUUGAGGGUCCAGAUUUGGCUGGGCCAGUCCAGGAGCCUUCUGUCCAGUGCCCCCAGCUUGAGCCCAGCAGCCAGGCCCUCUAUAAUCUAACCCUGGUUACCGUGAUAACAGCAUCCGG